rnacentral:rRNA from 1 species
CGACAGGAGCUUGCUCUUGGGCGUCGAGUGGCGAACGGGUGAGUAACGCGUGGGAAUCAACCUGGUUGACUGGGAUAAUUCGGGGAAACCCGGACUAAUACCGGAUAAGUUCCAAGGAAGAAAGGGGGCCUCUCUAUAGAUGCUCUCGCAAUCAGAUGAGCCCGCGUCAGAUUAGCUUGUUGGUAGGGUAAUGGCCUACCAAGGCGACGAUCUGUAGCUGGUCUGAGAGGACGAUCAGCCACACUGGGACUGAGACACGGCCCAGACUCCUACGGGAGGCAGCAGUGGGGAAUAUUGCGCAAUGGGCGAAAGCCUGACGCAGCCAUGCCGCGUGUGUGACGAAGGCCUUCGGGUUGUAAAACACUUUCAGGAGGGAAGAAGAAACGCUAAGUUAAAAGCCAGGCGUUUUUGACAUGAACUUCAGAAGAAGCACCGGCUAACUCCGUGCCAGCAGCCGCGGUAAUACGGAGGGUGCAAACGUUAAUCGGAAUUACUGGGCGUAAAGUGCGCGCAGGUGGUCUUUUAAGUGCAAUGUGAAAGCCCCGGGCUCAACCUGGGAAUUGCAUUUCAAACUGGAGGGCUAGAGUACGGUAGAGGGAAGUGGAAUUCCACAUGUAGUGGUGAAAUGCGUAGAUAUGUGGAGGAACACCAGUGGCGAAGGCGGCUUCCUGGACCGAUACUGACACUGAGGUGCGAAAGCGUGGGUAGC